CCAGGCGGUAAGAAGCAGCCUCCUGUGUUAAAAGUAUUUGAAGGUGAUUCGAACAAAGAGUGAGAGAAGACUGGUGGAGAAGGAAGAGACCAGACAAUAAGAGCCUUAAGGUGUUGGCACUUAAUUUUAGGGGCAAAGAGAAGUCAUGACACAUUUUAAUGAUCAUGUUUGCAGUUUAGUUCAACAGGGGGUGGGGUGGGGACUGGAGAGAAUUUAAGCAAGAGAUCUUGAUCUGUGAAUGACAAUAGGGAUGGAUAAAAGUCAGAUGGGAUGAUAUUUAAAUGGAGAAUUAUCAGCAAUUGCAGAUAGAGCGGAAAACCCAACAAAACUUUUCUUUCCCCAUUUCUCCUUCCAGCUGGCGCCCCAAAUGCCGUCCCAUUUCCAGUUCCUUUCUUUCACUGCAUUCCACGAUGCUCCACCAAUGCUCAGCUCGGUCAUUUGGUUUUCUGGUGCACUCCUCUUAGAAGUUUCCAGUGGCCUGGAAACUACAGUCCUACGGGGACCGGAGGGCUGUGGGCACCAGUAGUUUGCAUACAGCCCUGCCAGCAGCACGAAUAAAUGACCUGCCCAAUACCCCAAAGCUGGUGUGUUACAAAGUGCAUAUUUCAAAUCCAGCUUUAGGGAUUUUUCAAUAACACUUCAUUGCUGCUUCCCGAUGUUAAACAAGAGAAAGUUAAAACAAAAAAAAAGACAGCAUUACCCAAAAUACAGUGUCCUGAGCAUAGCAACGGAAACAACCAGAGACCCCAGACAGUCUGUCAGGUCUUGGUCUAGGGGUACUAGUGCUCCAAGUCCGAGGUCAGUCCCAGAGAAUGUGAAGUGCGCAUGUGCUAAAGGUCCUAGGCUCGCCCCAUCACAGGGGCGGAGGAAGGACAGUGCGCAUGUGUUGAAGGUCUGAGGUCCGCCCCGGAAGAGGUGGGGAAGGGGCCUAAAAGCAGAGGUUUGGUGCCAUCUGUUAGCCUAAACAGCCCACGUUCUGUUAGCGGAACCCAUGCAAUGGACGAUCCCUUCAUUACACCUAGGACCGCUGCCUUACGGCUCCUCCGUAAGCACUACAUCUUUGGAUUCCCCGAGGGCCAAAGAGAACACGGGACCGGAAGCGCUGACUCCUCCCGUCGUAUUUCCAGGGGCAGAGGAAGAUGGCGAAACCCAUUGGCUAGUGGGGAUCAGAAGAGGGCGGUUCACUCGGCCUGCGCGUGGGGCACUAUGGGUAUUGUAGUUCAGGGCUCCGCGGUCCAGCUUGCAGCGAGGAAUCUUGGAAGCCAGUGGGUCCAAGCUGGCCAGGGAAGCGCCUUGCACGGGGGCAUUAGGUGUGAAGUAGCUGCAGGGGUGUGUCUUCGUUCUGCUCUUUCUCUUUCGGGUGAGGCCUCACUCUGUCUCGCCUUCAGGGGCCUUCACUUCAUCCCAUACUUGAGGCUACUUUAUAAGCCCCAGUCACCUACAGAUUAUCCCUUACGAUUCCAAGCUGGUCUUGAGUUCCUCUUCUCGUCUAUCUCCCGCACAUCCAGGCCCUGGAAUUCUUCUCUGUCCUUUCUCCCGUUUGAGAUGAUGACUCUUGGCUAUAAGGACAGUAGACCUGACCUGAGUGAAUGAUGAAUGAUUGUGUCUCUGUGUAUCUGAGAGAGAGAAGGAGAGACAAAGAAGGAGAAUAUUAAUGUAUGAGUAGGCUGUGUCCCACUCAAUUUUGCUCUGUUAAAGAGUUAAAAGUGGAUAGUGUAUACCUACUUAAGGUCAGGUGGUGAUAGUAGGAAAGAAGAAUAGAUUUGUAAGCAAAACAACACUGGAAAAGAUUAAAUUUUCAAACUACUUGCUUUUUAUGCAUUUCCAGUUUAAAACCCACAAAACAGACUAACUUUGAGUAUGGUUAAUUAAAUUAACCUCUUAAACUUUAAGGUGGUUUUUGAUUCAUAGUAUGGAAACCUGACCUGCCUCCUGAGAAAUCUGUAUGCAGGUCAAGAAGCAACAGUUAGAACUGGACAUGAAACAACAGACUGGUUCCAAAUCGGGAAAGGAGUAUGUCAAGGCUGCAUAUUGUCACCCUGCUUAUUUAACUUAUAUUCAGAGUACAUCAUGAGAAAUGCUGGGCUGGAUGAAGCACAAGUUGGAAUCAAGAUUGCCAGGAGAAAUAUCAAUAACCUCAGAUAUGCAGAUGACACCACCCUUAUGGCAGAAAGUGAAGAACUAAAGAGCCUCUUGAUGAAAAUGAAAGAGGAGACUGAAAAAGUUGGCUUAAAGCUCAACAUUCAGAAAACUAAGAUCAUGACAUCUAGUCCCAUCACUUCCUGGCAAAAAGAUGGGGAAACAAUGGAAACAGUGACAGACUAUAUUUUUGGGCUCCAAAAUCACUGCAGAUGGUGACUGCAGCCAUGAAAUUAAAAUAUGCUUACUCCUUGGAAGAAAAAUUAUGACCAACUUAGACAGUGUAUUCAAAAGCAGAGACAUUACUUUGCCAACAAAUGUCCAUCAAGUCAAAGCUAUGGUUUUUCCAAUAGUCAUGUAUGGACAUGAGAGUUGGACUGUAAAGAAAACUGAGCACCAAAGAAUUGAUGCUUUUGAACUGUGGUGUUGGAGAAGAGUCUUAAGAGUCCCUUGGACAGCAAGGAGAUCCAGCCAGUCCAUCCUAAAGGAAAUCAGUCCUGAAUAUUCAUUGGAAGGACUGAUGCUGAAGCUGAAAUUCCAAUGCUUUGGCCACCUGAUUUGAAGAACUCCUUGGAAAAGAUCCUGAUGCUGGGAAAGAUUGAAGGCGGGAGGAGAAGGGGACGACAGAGGAUGAGAUGGUUGGAUGGCAUCAUUGACUCAAUGGGCAUGAGUUUGAGUAAGCUCUGGGUGUUAUUGAUGGACAGGGAGACCUGGCGUGCUGCAGUCCAUGGGGUUGCAGAGUCUGAUACGACUGAGCGACUGAACUGAACUGAACUGAUAGAAACGUAUAGAGAAGGAAAUAGCAACCCACUCCAGCAUUCUUGCCUGGGAAACUCCGUGGACAAACGAGCCUGAUGGGCUACAAUCCAUGCGGCCACAGAGUCAGACAUGACUGAGUGACUGAGCAUGGCAACUUUAACUUAGUCAUUUACUUUUUCAUUUACUUAGUCAUUUACUUGUUUCAAAAAACCAUGGGAGAGGCAAUCGUUUUGGACAAUCGCCACAAUUUCCUGCUUCAACAGUGCUUGGAUGGAACUUGGUGCUUGUCCCUUGCCUUGGCCAGCUGCUCAGAGUCAGCCCUCACUACCACCCACCCAGAGCCCUCGACCCACCCCAGGCCCCCACCUCCACCUCUCAGCCACCUUCCAGGAUGACUGCAUCUUCUUGCAGAUGCUGCCUGGACUACUGCCAGGACUCGGAGGAUGCCAUCAACUACCCCACUGGAGCUGUUUGCCUGCUACAUCUGUGUCAUACUGUUUUGACUGUGAUGAUGUGGCUUUGAAGAACUUUGCCAAGUAUUUUCUUACCAAUCUUGUGAUGAAAGGGAACAUGCUGAGAAGCGAAUGAAGCUACAGAACCAGUAAAGUGGCCGAAUCUUCCCUUAGGAUGUUAAGGAAUUAGACCUUGAUGACUGGGAGAAUGGGUGGAGUGCAAUGGAAUGUGUGCUACAUUUGGAAAAAAGUGUGAAUUAGUCACCACUGGAACUGCACAAACUGGCCACUGACAGAAAUGACCCCCAUUUGUGUGACUUCAUUGGGACUCAUUACCUGAAUGAGCAGGAGAAAUCCAACAAAGAACUGGGUGACCGUGUAACCAACCUGUGCAAGACGGGGGUCCCCUGAGUCUGGCAUGGCAGAGUAUCUCUUUGACAAGCACAUACUGGGACACCGUGAUAAUGAGAGCUAAGCCUUAGGCUGACUUCCCGUAGUCACAGGGAUGACUUCCCUGGUCAUCAAGGCAGUGCAUCUGUGUUUGGGUCAUAAUACUUAAGUUCUUUCUUUAGUACCAUUCCUUCAAAUAAAGUAAUUUGGUAUGCCACCCUCCCCUCACACCCCCAAAGGAAAAAAAAAUGUGAGAAAAAGAUUUGUGAAGUCUGUGUGCCAAGUCGCUUCAGUCAUGUCUGACUCUUUGUGAGGCAAGAGUACUCUGUCCAGGCAAGAGUACUGGAGUGGGUUGCCGUACCCUCUCCAGGGGACCUUCCCGACCCAGGGAUUGAACCUAUGUCUUUUAUGUCUCCUGCAUUGGCAAAUGGAUUCUUUACCACUAGCACUGCCUGGGAAGCCCUUCAGAAGUCUGUGCUUAAUCACUCAGUGGUGUCCAACUCUUUGCGACUCCAUGAGUAUAGCCUGCCAGGCUCCUCUGUCCAUGGAAUUGUCCAGGCAGGAAUAUUGGAGUGGGUUGACAUGCCCUCCUCCAGGGGUUCAGUCCAACCCAGGAAUUGAACCCAGGUCUCCUGCAUUGCAGAUGGAUUCUUUACCAUCUGAGCCACCAGGGAAGCCCUCAGAAAUCGAAAAUGUGUCAUUUGAUGGAUGCCCUGGUAGAUCUGCUUUAGAGAAUGAGUUAAUAAUAUCUCAUAUUAAAGUCUGACUUCAACCAAGCUUUUAAAAAACUUGUGGUUGUAGAACUUCUAGAAUCUGCUUACUAUGUCCUUCAAAGCACGAUGUGUGCUUUAUUGUGCUUCUCUUAAAAAGAAAUGGUUAAUGAAAGCUGAAGGUUAACACUUAAAAGUAGACAGUGAUAAUGGAUAAUUGACAGUUGAUCAUGGAGAAGGAAAUGGCAACCCACUCUAGUAUUCUUGCCUAGGAAAUCCCAUGGAUGGAGGAGUCUGGCAGGCUACAGUCCAUAGCGUUGCAGAAGAGUCAGACACAACUUAGUGACUAAACAACAACAAAUGUGUAUGCCAUGGAUAUUAGCACAGAACCUCUUUCAACAAUGUCAUAAAAUCUAACAUCUGUUGUAGGAUAUUGAGUUUCAUGCUGCCUUUUGUUUACAUUGAAUUUUUAUUUUGAACAAUAGGCAACAAGUGACUCAGCAGUGAUAUUGAUUCAAAGGCCAUGAAUCAAUUCAAUGAUUUGCUGGUUAAAUCUUGAACAAUCAGUUCUCAGAAAAACAAAGAGAUCUGGUUUAUAGUGUUUCCCAAUUGCCUUGUAUAGAUUCUCCACUGUGGUCUAUUCCAAGUGACCAAAUGUGAUGUCACUGAAUGUGGAGUUGGAAAGGCACAUGUACACCAUUUCUGAGAGCCUGUAUGAGCCAGCUCCAGGAGCAAACUCCCAGAGAUAGUGAAAGACAGGGAAGCCUGGAGUGUUGCAGUCCAUGGGUUGCAAAGAGUCAGACAUGACGACUGAACAACAAUAGUUAAAUAGAAAGUGAGCCUUGAGUGUUUACCAGUGUUCCAACUGGUUAGUUUUUAGUGGGUAUUUCCAUGUUGUAAUGACUUGUCUUCUUAAUAAACCUUGUAUAACCUAUAGGAUUCAAUAAUUAAGAUUCUCAUGUAUAUCAUAUAAAGUUCCCUAGAGCUGUCCUAAGAAAGUAAAUAAAAAUCUUAGCAAUAUUUC
rnacentral:lncRNA from 1 species